AACGAACGCUGGCGGCAUGCCUAACACAUGCAAGUCGAACGAGGCCUUCGGGUCUAGUGGCGCACGGGUGCGUAACGCGUGGGAACCUGCCCUUAGGUUCGGAAUAACUCCCCGAAAGGGGUGCUAAUACCGGAUAAUGUCUUCGGACCAAAGAUUUAUCGCCUUUGGAUGGGCCCGCGUUGGAUUAGCUAGUUGGUAGGGUAAAAGCCUACCAAGGCGACGAUCCAUAGCUGGUCUGAGAGGAUGAUCAGCCACACUGGGACUGAGACACGGCCCAGACUCCUACGGGAGGCAGCAGUGGGGAAUAUUGGACAAUGGGCGAAAGCCUGAUCCAGCAAUGCCGCGUGAGUGAUGAAGGCCUUAGGGUUGUAAAGCUCUUCUACCCGGGAUGAUAAUGACAGUACCGGGAGAAUAAGCUCCGGCUAACUCCGUG
rnacentral:rRNA from 1 species